CUCGCCGCGGAGCGCGCCGCUGGGUCCCGGGGCCCCCACGGUGGUGGUGGUGCACACCUUUAAUGUCAGCACUCAGGAGCCAGGGAGGCAGGCUUAUCUCGGAGUUCCGGGAACAAAGUGAGUUCCAGGACAGCCAGGGCUACCCACACACACACACACACACACACAUUCUUAUCUUAAUGAACUACAUCUCUGAAUCAUUCCAAUCCAGUCUAGACUACAGCUGGGACUCCUUAGGGUAAGUACUUGUUUUGCAAGCAUGAGGAGCUGAGUUUAGAUCCCCAGCACCAUGGAAAGGCCAAGUGUGGAAACAGGCAGAUCCUGGCCAGUUUAGCCAAUCAGUGAGCUCCAGGUUCUACGAGAGACUGUUUCAAAAAAAAAAAAAAAAAAACAAGACGGAGGGCUGGUGAGAUAUCUCAGUGAGUAAUGGCUCCUGAUGCUUGAGUUCAGUCCCAGGAAACUUACAUGUUGGAAGGAAAAACUGAUUCCUGCAACCUAACCUAACCUAAACACAUUACACACACACACACACACAGAGAGAGAGAGAGAGAGAGAGAGAGAGAGAGAGAGAGAGAGAGAGAGAGCACAAAUAAAUGAAAAAACAAAGCAAAGUGGAGAAGCAAUUAAGGAAAAAGCCAUUCUGAGCUCUGCGUGUGCACAAAUAGACACGUACCUUCACAUACAUGCAUAUGACACGCAAAACUCAACCUGAAUGUGUAGCCUCUUUUCAAGUCACAUCUACCCUUCUUUCUAACUGCAUACUGGGCAGGGUGCUUGCACCUUUAAUUCCAGCUAUCUGUCCCACAGAUUCUCUGAGAUCAAAUAUUGCCUGCAUAAUUUAAAAAACUAAAUUACAGCCCGGCAGUGGUGGCACACGUCUUUAAUCCCAGCACUCAGGAGGCAGCCAGAUCUCUCUGUGAGUUUCAGGUCAGCAGGGUUACAUAGUCAGACCUUGUCUCAAUGUUAAGUCAAUAGAAACAACUAUUCUAGAAGGUCCUUCUUUAGGAAGGAAAACAGGGACACUUAACAGGAAAUAAGCAAAGAUUAUCGAAGAUAUUCCAUAAUGGCCUCAAAUUCAGAUAGUCAAAGUAGUCACUUAUGUGGCAAGUUACAUUCCUGGAUGUAAAGACAGGUCUUGUGUGGGGAAGCUGGAAGGGCACCCUUGGGGAGAAAUCAGGCCUAGGUGCUGGGAUCUGCCAUUCCAGCCCCUGAAGUUUCCCACUAAGAAAAAAGAGUGAAGAAUGUAAGACACCUCCACUCAGUAUUGCUGCGUGCAAGGCACUACCUAGCCAGAGUUUAGACCUUGUGGGACAAUGACAAAACAGUUCCAGCCCACGGUGCCCGCAGAGGCUGCUUAGACAAGCUGACCCCACUCCUUCGUUUUCAGUUCAGCUGCUGUUGGAUGUUUCUGUGCCAGCUGUAAGAAAGAGCCUGGUCUGUGUCUGGUCAGGGACACUAAGCUGCUGUAGGACUCUCUCUCUGAGGAAGGGCCUGCAGGACCUUGUGGUCAGUGGGAGGAAGCCGGGGCAGCCCCAAGACUUGGCAUGGAAGUUUCACCUGCCUCUGCCCCUCCCCGCUGCACUGCUGUCUGAAGUUUGAACUGUGGGCUCAUGUAAUUUAGUUUUUUAAAUGGUGCAGACAAUAUUUGAAUCUCCUCAGAGAUUCUGUGGGACAGAUAGCUGAAAAACUAACUCCUGGCCCUCAAGUGACUGAUGCCAUAGACCCCUAGAUGAGUUAAAGGCCAUUCCCAGGAUUCUGACGAUCAUUUGACAGGGGCCCCUGCCGUGGCCUCCUCUCAUACAAUCUUUGCUGAUGGGCUCAUCUGCCUGAAACCUGUGGCUGGAACCUCCAUUUUGUGUCUUUGGGGGACCUGGGUAGGGGUGCAGCCCUGACCCUUCCUUGGGGCUGACAAAGUUGUGCUUGUGGCUCACAGUGAACGUUUGGACAAGCAAAAUCAGUGUGUCAAGGCAAGGGUUUGUUUUGUUUUGUUGUUUUAGUUUUUGGAGACAGGGUUUCUGUGUAGCUUUGGAGCCUGUCCUGGCUCCUGCUCUGGAGACCAGGCUGGCCUCGAACUCACAGAGAUCCGCCAAGGCAAGGGUUUUAUUUGCAGCCAAUGUGGGUAUUUAACUGCAGAACCCCUCAGGAGGGCUGGGAGAGUGCCCCUUCCACUUUUGGAGUGUGACACCCAAACUGCAGCAAAACCUGGAGCUUCCUGACGAGAUUACGACCAACACAGGUGGACACAGAGAGAGAACAGCAGCCUCCUAGUGCUACGCCGUACCUGUGUCUACCCUCCCUCUGUGUCUCUCAACACAGAAGUGAUAAUGCCUGUGAAAUCAGACUGUGGAAGUUGCCAUGGUUUCAGUUCCCCCUUCUCCAUAAGGACAGCACCUGGUAGUGCGCCGACCCUAACCCUAACCUAGCCCUAGCCCCAGCCUGGCCACACCCCGCAUGGGAGACCCUGAGCCAAAACCACCCCAGUCUGCCGACUGCCCACUCUCAAACGCUGUGUGAGGUAACAGAUGUCUGUUUCAAGCUCCAGGGCUGUAAGGUCAUUUGUUGCCUGGCAGUAACGAGCUGACACACCAUCUGCAUUGGGGUAUGUUUCUUUACUGUAAUAAAAGACGGGAGACGGCUCACUGUGGAAAGACAAAAGCUUCGUGGACAGUUUUGGAGGCUGGAGGGCGUGGCAUUGGCAUCCACUCUGCUCUGGGGAGGGCUCUGUGGCUGAGCGUGCGCGCGCGAGUCUGUGCGCGUAGGCGUGUGCGUGUGUGUGCUCGCGUGUGUGUGUGCGCGAGAGAAUCUGAGUGCGUGUAGGUGGGUGUGUGUGUUCUCGUGUGUGUGUUCCCGUGUGUGUGUGCGCGAGAGAGUCUGUGUGUGUUCCCCAGUGUGUGUUCCCGUGUGUGUGUGUGCGCGAGAGAAUCUGUGUGCGUGUAGGUGUGUGUGUGUGUGUGUGUGUGCUCGUGUGUGUGCGUGUGUUCCCCAGUGUGUGUGAGCACGUGUGUAGCACUCACUCACACAAGUUAAUACACAGCUCUCUAGCUCCCAGAAUUGUGAACCACACCACACCACACCACACCACACGGAAACUGAGGCCUGGAGGCGCGGACUUGACUGACGAGCCGGGGCGGCCUGGCGCUGGCUCCACUGCGGCUCACACACCCGCGGCUGGGCGUGGCGGGCGUCCAUCCUGCCCGGCAGCAGCACGAGCCAAUCAGAGCACAGCUGCCUGCCCCGCACUGUGAUUGGUUCGGGCCGCGCGGACGUCGCCCAAUCACAGGAAAGAUCUCUGACGGCGGCGUUGCCUGGAGCCCCGGCUUUUGUUCCUGCGGGGUCCGGGGCCGCCGGGGCGGGCGCGGGGCUCCGAGGGGGCGGGGCGGGGCCGCGGAAGCGGAAGGGCGCUGUGGCUGCAGGAAAGCUAGCCCGGUGCUCGACCCCUGAGCUCGAGGCCCAGGGUGGGAGCCGCCCCCGGAAGCGGCCCCGAUCACCCCGAGCCGCUAGCCGUGCUGGCUGGAUGCUCGCCGGCCGGCCGCGCCCCCUGCCGUAGUUCUCCGUCCUUUGGAGCCGGCCUCCCUGUGGGUGGCAGGUUGGCUUAGCGCUCACUCCGCAGCCCCGGAUUUCAACAAUUUCCCGCCCAGCCUCCCCAGUGCGGCCGUGUACCCCGCGCCCGCCUCCGGGCUUGCUUUGUCUUAGAGGCCACAGGGCUGGCGAGGGCUCAGCGGCCUGGGGUCAGGUGGGGGUGCACACUCAGCCUCUGCGAGCCGGCGCCUGUCCCGCAGGCUGUCCCCCCCUCUGCCACACAGCUGGGACCCGCCACCCGCAGGCAAGGUGCUCAUGCUUUCUGCGAGCCCCGGCUCUCACCGCAGACGCAGGCCCAGGAAGCGGCUCUGCGAGGCUCCAGGAACGAAUUUGUUUGCAGAGGACCCAGUACCCAUUAGCGGGAGAUUCAAUUUACAAGAAUUCUUUUUCUCACAUAAUUAUCGGUGGAGUGGGUGGG
ensembl:lncRNA